GCCUAGCAGGGUGGGGGCUUACGGCCUUCCAUGAGCUGACUCCCCACGCGGCCCUAGCUCUGGGUCUGGGGCUGUUCCUUGGGUGGUAAGAAUAGGGUAGAAUGGGUGGAUAUAAAAGUUGAGGAACUGGUAAGGGAUGGGCCCAGCAGUCAGGAGCUUGGGCCCCUGCCCUCUGCAGGGGCCUCACGGGGCUGAGUCCCCGAUGAGCAGGCAGGAGGAGAAGGACGCAGAGCUGGACCGGAGGAUAGUCGCCCUUCGCAAGAAGAACCAGGCCCUGCUGCGCAGGUACCAGGAGAUCCAGGAAGACCGACGGCAGGCAGAGCAGGGGGGCAUGGCUGUGACCACACCGGAGCUCCUUCAUCCUGAUGGCCUCACUGUCACCGUCAGCCAGGGGAAGCGGGUGGUCAGCCGGAACUGGGCGAGGAGUGCCCUUGGACCUGGAGCAGCCAGUGAGACGCUUGAGGAUGAGCAGGCAGAGGCCCACACUGGCACCUUCUGCUUGGGGGAGCGGGUGGAUCUGGCCGUGACCAUGGAAAACAAAGCCGAGGCCAAGCGGAUUGUAAGUGAGAAGCCCACCAGGGCACGGAACCAGGGAGCAGAAGCAUCACCUGGAGCAGGCGUGGGCCGGAGCCCCUCCGUGCCACCGGCCGUCAGCUCAGAUUCUGCAUGGAGGGGUGUCCAGGAGCCCCGGAGUCCAGCCCCGGUCCCAGGCCCAGCUCCCCGCCGGGCACUGGGGGGCCCCCUGGAGGUGGGCUGGGACUAUGCCCAGUGGAAGCAGGAGCGGGAGCAGAUAGACCAGGCCCGCCUGGCGCGGCACAGAGACGCACAGGGUGACUGGCGCCGCCCGUGGGACGUGGACAAAGCCAAACCCACGCGACAGGGCUCCAGCAAGCCUCGGGAAGAGGGCCCAGCCAGGGUGGGCAGCACGAGGGGUCCCAGGAGUCACCGAAAGCUACAGCCCCCACCACUGCCCCCUGAAGGCAAAGGCAGUGCUACUCGGGGUGGGCAACAGGGCAGACCCGUGGUGGCGCUGGCCAUCCGCAGCAAGGCUCGAGGGACAGAGAGGCUGACUGGCAGGGCCCGCAGGUGGGAAAUGAAGGAAGACAGGGAGGAGCCGGAGAGCCAGGAGGGAAGCCAGAGCACCAGAAAGACUCCGAAUGGGAAGGAACAUGAGCAGACUCAGAGCAGGAUGGAGCCGGGCGGACCCACCAGUGCCCCGGGAACCACCCCCACCCCAGCAUCGGCAUCACCAGAGGGGCUGAAAGAGGAGUCGGGAGAUUUGGCAGCCAGUCCAGCCAGUCCAGGCUCUCCACCAAACUCAGACUUGGUUCCCCUCGAUCUCUCCCUAGGAGGCACCAGUAGCUCUGGGUCUCAGGAGAGCGCCUGUGUGCUCAGUUCAAAGCCUGGGGCCCAGGAGAGCCCUGCAUCCCGGCUGGAGGGCCAGGAGCAGCCCCUCGGGUCGACGGAGCCCCAGGCCAUGCCAGAAGCCCAGACUUGUUCCAGGUCCCCCAAAGGGGCAGAGCCCCUGGAGCCCAGAGAAGACAGGCCUGGCAAGGCUGGGGCCCAGCAGGGCCUGACACCUCGGAGCAGGGCCCCUAGAGGAGGCAGCCAAAGGGCGAGGGGUGCAGGAGGUGUGAGGAGCAGGACAGGGGGUCCUGGCCCUGCAGGAAGAUGCUGAGCAAAGUUCAUGGGAGCAGGGGGCCAGGCUGGGGAGAGGAGGGAAGGCGCUGUCCAGAGUCUGCGCCAUGGAUGUGUGGUGGCUGGUGGCUGUGGCGGCCUGGCUGAGCAGUUUGGCAAACUCUCCAGGGGAGUGAGACCCUGAAGGCCAGGAGCCAGCCCCUGCCCUCACAGGCACCCGCUGUGUACACGUGUGCUCUCACCUGCAGGUACAGCCCCUGGUGCAUGCCCACGCCACGCCUGGUCCGUGAGGCUGGUGAGCUCUGUCCCAAGCCUACUGCUCCCCAGGCCACAGGCUCCCUGCCAUGACAAGAAGACAAGGCUUGGAAGCACUCAGCAGCCGGCUCACCUAGCUCCUGUCACCCCCAGGGCCUGGCCACUCUCUCCAGCUGCUGGCUCCUGGCUCGUCAGACCCACGUCUGGUGAAUUAUCCAGACUCCGCACAAGCUGUGGCUUCCUCUCAAUUCAACAAACAUUUCCUGAGCACCCACUACCAGCAAUGCAGCCGGUGGGCGAUGGUGACUUUGCCAGCAAGAGGGAGGGAAGAAGCCUUGUCAUCCGGCAGAUCCAGGCUGCACAGCAGGAGCUGUUCUUGGCUGUAGGUGCCCGACAGGUGUUGAAGAUGGUGGUAGGAGCCCAGAGGGAACCAUCUCACUGCUGUGUGCAAAGGUGGGCACGCCUGUCUUUCUCAUUGGGUGUCCCCUUUGCCCCCAAACCCCUGCUUGGAUCUCCCCACAUAGCCAGGCCGUGGCUGUUCCUCUCUGCUGAGAGUCCCAGGCUUCUCUGGGUUCUCUCCGGAGUGUCCAGAUCAUCCCCAGCAUUUCUCUCCUCUGAAUUGUGGCUCAACUGUGAGGCCAGGUUUCCUCACUGGCUCUUACUCUACCAGCCACCCCCUCUAUUGAGGAGGAGGGUGGAGGGGAUGACUUUUCAGCAGAUCAGAUUGUUUCGAGUAGUGCUUCUUACACAUAAAGGUGCAGACGAAUGCAGACUCUUAACUGUGGGCUGGGCCUGGGAACCUGCAUUUCUCAUAGGCUCCAGGUGCUGCCUUUACUGCGGGUUCCUGGACCACACUUUGAGAGGAAGGAUUUGGAUUAGAAUAUAUGGAGGGCUGAGGACAGAGACAGACUCUAGACUCUUAAGGGCUGGCUGCUGGCUCUACAUGGGGUGGUGGCAGGCUGCCCCUUCCAGGUGAGAGCUUCCUGGUCUCAGAGUCAGGUGGGAAGCUGAGGCUUUGGGUUAGAGGCUUGAGAGCUGGUGGUGCCAACUUCCUGUAGUGGGGAGUGAGAAAGUUGAUUGGGAAUGGGGUUAGGUGAAGGUGGUUGGAAGAGGUGAGGAUUGAUCAGAGGAAUUCUGGAAAGGCUUGGGAACAUUCUGUGCAUGUAGGGAGAAGACCCCUGUGAGAUAUGAAAAGGCAAGGGUGAAAGAUUCCAAGCUUAAGUUUUCCUCUUGCCAUCCGGUCACACGUUUGUGACUUCAGAGCAUAAAACUGGCUCUGGAACCCAUGACUCCCAAGGAUGGAGCUGGAGUAGAGCAGGUUCAAGCAGAGCCCUUGAAUUCAGAUGUCUCCCAAAUUGUGAACCAGAAUUUGGAUUCUAAGAAUUACAAACUUCGCCCAACUGCCAAUGCUGCCAACUAUACAGAUGUGCCUUCAUUAAAGGGUAUGUGCCAAGUCAUGUUUGACUGUGGGCUGGAGAUGUAGUUUGGGCAGAGGUCUGCUUGGGGCCUUAUGACAAGACCUAAGCGGGAGAGGAAGCUGGGCUAAAGGGCUGAGGAAAAAUGGGCUUCUCUCUCUUCUGGGUGUUAGGAGAAAGGGAUGUCAUGGGAGUGAGUCACUAGCAGUUGGAGAGAAUGGAGUCUGACAUAGAGUAUCUUCAUUGUAGGAAGAACUGUAGCACAAGGCAAGUAUCACUGAGCUUUCCUUAGAAAAGGGGAGCCCUUCUUCAGGACCAACGAGCUAGCAUUUCUGGUGGCCACAAACCCUGCUCCAGGAUGAAACCAGCUAAGGGGCAGGAGGGAAGGGUAAACAUCCCUCCACAAAGCUCAGGGCCAUGGAAGGCUGCUCUGUUUCUUCCUGGAUCCUUUCGUUAAAGGCCUGGCUGGGAGCCUUCUUGGAUGUCCUUCUCCUCUCCAACCAACAGACAAGACUGCUUCUCAAAGGUGGGAAGUUCUUCAUGGGACAUGGCUUCAGGAGCCCAAGCACAGAGCUGGAAGAAUUGAUGAGGGAAAGUGCACAGGGCAGUACGGGGCCAGCAGGGACAUGAAAACUUUACCCAGGGCCUCAAAACAAGGCAGAAGAGGUGGAAAGCAUCUCUAUCCUGGUGCCGAUCACCUUACAGAGGGGCACGGCAGACCACACUGUGAGGGAGGUAUUUGGGGGAUGACAGGCAGCAUGGUAGAGCGGAACAAAGACGGGCCUUGGAAUCCAAGAGACUGAAUCUGAAUUCUAGGUCUGUCACCUGCUAGCUAGACAACUCUGGUCAAUUUUAAUGUCUAAAAGCCUCAGUUUUGUUUGCAAAAUGGAGCUAGUAAUACCUAUGUUGAAGGAUUGUUAAGAAAAUUAAAGAUGAAAAUAUGCAAAAUACCCCUGGCACACAGUAGGCACUCUAUUAACAGUAGCCUGGCAUGAAGACAACACUCAGUAAAUAUUUGUUGAAUAAAUGAAGUAGUGAUUU